AAUCUCUGGAGAGUCUCUUAAUUGAGCGCCGAAGGUGUACGACUGCAAAUUUUUUUGUAGCAAAUCUCUCAGGCAAAAGGACAGAGCUUU
rnacentral:ncRNA from 1 species